rnacentral:tRNA from 1 species
GGAGAGAUGGCUCAGGGGUUAAGAGCACUGACUGCUCUUCCAGAGGUCCUGAGUUCAAUUCCCAGCAACUACA